GCAAUGGUGAUCCAGUGGUCGAAUUCUCGCCUUCCAUGCAGGAGACCUGGGCUCAAUUCCCAGCCAGUGCU
rnacentral:tRNA from 1 species